UCAGAUCCACUUCUACGACUCUGUGCCAAAAUUUAAUCUUAAUGUGUUAAUUUGUGUCAUUUGGGAAUAUGAGUGUAGAAUGUUGAGUAUUGUAGACUCGCAGAUUAGUUAUUUUGAGCUGCCAGUGAUGUGUCCUUUUAUUUCUUUUUUUGGUUUUUGGGUAUGGUACUUGUGCUGAUCAGCUGCACUUAACCUGGGCUGCAAACCUGUGAGAACUCCGAGAAGUGAUCGACACAGUAAUCCCCGGACUUACCUUGCCCCCAGAACUCAACAACCUCCUCCUCCUGGGCCUCCUAAACCUGCUGGUGGCAAUCCCUUAAACUAUACAAAAGUCACAAAUUCUACUGUGUCUGGAAUUCCUGCAUCAGAUUCUAAACAGCAUGCUCGCCAAAAUAGUAGAAUUGUGGGUUCCCGUAACUACCCCUUCUCAGACAGUUUUCCUUCUGGUCAGCACCAGCAGCCAUUGAGAAUAGAAACUAAAUCCUCGAUGGACCUUGGUUCAGUUUACCCCUUGUACUAUGGCAAUGAAGCUAAAGAGCCUCAGUUAAGGACGACCAACCUAGAGAAAACGUGUUCGGAAACAAUCUUUGUUGGCAGACCAGUAAUGACUCCAGUCCCCGAGGCAUCUGGGAUUGGUCGAAUAGAUAACUUCCCAUAUGGUAGGUUCCAACAUGCUCCAAACAGAAUUGCAAAAGAAACUGCUGUUGGCACUCAUCAGGAACUGCCAGAUAGGUUAUGUGAUUUAUCUCUGAGGUUGGGUCAAUCUUUGCAUCCAACAAUGAGCAGAAAAGGUAGCUUGGCAUAUGAAAUGGACGAUGUUGGAAUAGGAGCUUCUCAGGACUCCAGAAAGUGGAAUCAUCUAUCCAAUCAGAAAAAUAAAGAGCUCUGUUUUUACCCUAGGGAGACAGGAUAUGGUGCUGUUGACUCCGCCAAUUAUACUAAAUAUAAUGCAGAGGGUGAAGAUCAGAACUUAGAGGCAACUUUGCGGAAACGCAAAGCACCUGCAGUUAACAGUGAGGAAGAUGGGCAAUUUUGCCGGUAUCUAGGGGUCCCAUCCAAUCAGUUUACUGAUAGAACCCGAAGGCCAGGUUCUUAGUUACUCUUUCCUGUUGUAUCAUAUAUGCAUUAGCAGUUUGAGAUGAUCCAAAUUGUCGUUAAUCAUUUUUUUGUAGACUUUAUGUGUAGCUGAGUAGCUCUGUCCCAUCCAAUCAGUUUACUGAUAUCCCAAAGGCCAGGUUCGUAGAUAGUCUUUCUUGUUGUAUCAUAUGUGCAUUAGCAGUUCGAGAUGAUCCAAAAUGUCGCUGAAUCAUUUUUGUAGACUCUCUUUAUGUGUAGCUCUGCUUGUGAGAAAUUCUAGAAGUUGCCAUUGAGUUUUUAAUUGCAUCGCUGCAAAUGAGAGAUGUUUAUAAAAUCAUAUCUUGCGUUGUUUAUUUUGUUUGGCUCUCAAAAGAUCAAAAUAAAAAAAACUUUUAAAAUGGGGUGUCUAAAAGAAAUCAUAUGAUAUAAACCCCUGCGGAAGCUCUAAUAAAAGUUUGAUGCAUAGCAAAAAUAUGACAGCUAUAUAAAAAUAUACCUGUUAUCUGAACUGCCCUGGUUCAGUGUGCUAAGACUUUAAUCUGCUAACUGGAAUUUCUGUUCUCAGUCAAGAUUAGCCCCCUCGGCCCAAGUAUCAUCUUCUGGCCAUUGGCAGUGUCUCUUUGCAAAUUAUCGAGCAAGAUGCCUUAAAGUGUGUUUUUCAUUAUCUUGUGAUUUGUGACAAAAGAUAACAUCAGUUCAAGCUUGAGAAAUUAAAAUUACUACAUAGCAUAAACUAUAACUGCAACAUGCAAAAAACUGGAUCUCAAUCAUACUGUAAAAUUCAGAAAUAGGAAGCAAAUGAAAAGAAUGAGUGAGAAAACUUUAGAAUGUUGUCAAAUGGUUAAAAUUUAUUAUUUUUUUGUCAAGGCAACCUCAAAGAGAGAGGGGCAGCUGCUAAGACCUUACCGGGAGAGAAGGAAUUAGGGCUUAAACCAUCUCAACAGAGAACAUGAAUGUGUAAUUCCUAGUUAGGUACCACCUAUCAUAGGUGGUUAAUUGAAUAUAUAGGUGGUCCAUUGAAUAUUAAACAUGUAUAAUGUUGUGUAGGCUAUGUUAGACAUGUUUUUAUCUCUUGAGAAUGCUAGUAGGCAAUGCCUAAGUUAGAAUUUUUCAAGAUCAAAUAACUUGUCUGGUCUUUAACAUCACAUUAGCAGUCUGCAUGCUUUGAUAUGGACAAUGAAUCCAUUUCAACUCUCUCUGGUCGAAUUCCUUGAAGAGUUUAAGACUUUGUUCAAAUAUAACAAGUAUUAAGAUGUCUCUAUGAAUUGCAAAUUUGCAAGUAUUAACAUUUGCAUAAUAGACAUCCAAAUUCAGAGUCUAACUCAACUCUAUAAAGAUUAUGUCACACCAGUAUUGUGUAUGCUUGGCCUUUUUGUUUUGAAAAAGUGGGAUUUCUUUAUGGGCUUUUCUUCGUAAUCACUAAUCAGCCUUUGAUACUUGCGUUGCACUUACUUUUAGUACAAUGGUAACACCAUUCGGGUAUUUACAUUAAUUGGGCCAUCAGUAAGGAUACUUCUUUUGCAUUAUCUCGGGAUUCUUUUGGUAAAUGUUCUGAACGUUCCCUUCUUUUACUACUUUACUACCCAACCCAAGGUUUGUUUUAUUAUCAAGUAUCAGGAAAGAUGUAUAAUUGUAAUUUUCUUCUCACAUGUAACAAAAUUCUUUUGACAGCUUGAGAGUGCAUCCUCUUGUGAUUGCUGCACAUCCUUCUGAACCAAACCAAUUCGCCUUAGGACUUACAAAUGGAGGAGUACAUGUACUUGAACCACUAGAUUCAGAAGGAAGAUGGGGUUCUCCGCUUCCAAGUGAGAACGGUGCUGCAGGGCCUAGCACUACUUCAGGUGCUACUCCUUCAUAGCAGACACAAAGGUGACGGUGCAUUAUGUGUUUACUUAUCAAAAGAGCUCACACCGGUAUGUAUUUGAUUCCAUAUGAUCCCGCCCCUUGUGUUGCCUCCAUUUGGUUUGUGCAAGGGGAAGCUGCGGAACUUAGGUCUCUAUACUUUUAGGUUAACCAAUCCCUUUGUAACUAGGCUUCCUAAUCAAGUUCUGCUUCAUGGAAUAUUCAGAGUAUGUUCACUCAUGAAGGAUUAUCACCCUAGUUUCGUAGUGAGUUCGGCUGGCGCGUUGCAAAGAGUAGUCUCUUUGUCAUUUUUUAUUUGCUGUUUUGUUUGCCUUCAUUUGUGUAGUAUAUUUUUUAAAGAAAAUUAUAUGUAGUGAACAGUAGUUAUAUUUGUAUUUUUUUCCCAGCAAAAUUUAGAUUGCUGCUCCAAUAUUCAGUUCUGUUUUAUGUUACUUUGAUCUUGCGAACGGUAGGGGCCAUGCUUUUAAUUUCAAAUAUGAGAUUACGGUUAUCAUAGUUAGUUAGCUUUGAAUAUUAAGUAUAGUUGACUCUACUAAUGUUGGAACAUGUAUAUGAUAUAUUUGUAAUGAAUAGUUGAGAUAAACAUUUAAUGAAUGUGUUGAACUAUUCAAUUAAAACAUAUGGCACGGCUUGACCUAAUAAGGCUAUUGCCAGGUUAAACUGGUAAAACUUAUGAAAAAUGAGCAAAAUCAGAAUUUUUGUUUUUUGUAUAACCAACCAUAUUUAUCAUAUUAUGAGUAAAAAAAUAAUCUCUUUUAUAAUUUAUGGUUCCUUCUAAUAAAUGGCUCCUACAUGAUAUUAUCUCAACCCUACCCUAGGUGACUGCCAAGAGUGGUUGCUUUCUUUGCCACAUUUGUCUUUAUCAUCUGUACUAUUUUGCUUAUACCCCGGCCAUAAAUGCAUCCAAUGGCAACAAAAGCUGGGGCAACCCCUACUCACCACAUGGCUGAUAUGACAUGCAUGAUGCAUAUAUUGUUCCGAUCUCAUUUUGGAUUAUAUAAUGGCUGAAAAUGAGGAAUGAGGAUAAGUUGUGACUGUUCUGUGAGAGAGAGAAAAGGGUAGAGAAAACUUGUUUAGUAAUAUUUAAAGUUACAAAAUAAAAUUAUAUAUCAUUUUUCACGUGUCAAUAUUUGAAUGAUUGUGAUAAAAAUAUGGAUAGAGUUAUUAGACAAUUCGUAUUUGUAAAUGUGACACAUACUAUUAAUCAUUAAUUAGUUUCCAACACUGAGCAUGCUGGCUGAUGGGGAGAGAUUCAUGAGACCAGUCAAGAGAAAUUUAAUUUUUUAUUAUGUAAAGUACUACAUAAUCUAAAGUAACAAGUAGAAAGAAGACACAGAACUGUGCCGUGAGGGGGGGAUUACACUAGUUUUGUAAAAGUAGGCAUAGGAAGUAGUACUACUAAAUUACUAAUACUAGUGUACCAAAAGGAAAAAAAAGAUGGAAGUUGAAAGUGGAUGCUUCAAAAAGGUGGAAGUUCAAAACUGAAAAAAGGAGUUCGGCUUUGUAGAGCAGUUGUCAAGAGUGGACGUGACAUGAAGGAGUGGGGAAGGCCCAUACAGCGUCAGUGUUGUGUCAAAGGCUGUUUUCAGCACGUUCAAGGCCUUAUUUACCCAUCAAUGUCUGUGCCUUCAAUGCACCUACUCACUACUAACAAAUAUUAAUGUUCCCUUUUAUUUAUCAUUAAUAAUCCAAUAUUAAUAAAUGAAUAGCAUGAAAUUCAGUUUUAAAAACAGAAUAAUGAUAUAAUAUUAAUAUGUUUCAUAAUCCAACUGGACACCCUGUGCACACAAAAAAUAUACCAAAAUAUAAAUAUGUAGAUAUAGUACUAGUUUGUUAUUAACAUGUAGUGGUGGGAGAAACACAUGAAAUUUGACUUAUAAAUUACAAUUUCACAGAACCCCAUGUGGACUCCUUAAGUGGCAGAUGAGUCCAGCAGAGCUGAAAAAACAAUGGAGUAGUGCCUAAAAUAAAAGCAUCGCCAUCAUGAUCCUGAAGCAAAAUUUAACCCCGCGGUGAAAAGAAUAUUUGAUUAUUUGGGGAUUAAAAGGUAAAGGAGAAAAAGAUUCUGAGUACGGGUAAAUAGUAGCUUUAUAUUUUUUGGGUACACAAGGUAAGAGUGUGAGGGAAACUGAUAUAACCGGAUUGUCUAUGGUUACAUGACUUUAUAAUGAAGUUGAUAUAAGAUGGGGUUUUGUCAUUUUGCUCACAGCGUUGAAAGUGUUCUAAGGGUUGUGACUUGUGUUGUGUGAUUCAAAAUUGGGGAAAUGAAAUGACAGAGAAAUGGCAAAGCAAGUAGUAAGUACUAAUUGACCAUAAAAAAAACCAAACCAAACCAAAACAAAACAAAAUCCCAUGUAGAGAGAGAGAAGAAAAGACCACUUAUGUUACUGUUUGUGCACAGUAUUGUAUGUAAGCUCCUCUCGACCCAACACAAAGACACAACCCUUUUCAAUUAUUUGUUUCCAUUUCUUUCUUCACAUAUUUUCGUGUGUUGUGUGAGUGUGUUGUUUUUUUGAAGAUGCCACGGCCAGGGCCAAGGCCUUACGAGUGUUUGAGGAGAGCUUGGCACAGUGAGCGCCACCAACCCUUGAGAGGUUCCAUCAUUCAACAGAUUUUCAGGUUCUGGGUUUUCCCUUUUCACCCCUCUAUUUAUGCUUGUGCAUUCUGUUCAUGUCUUUAUUGCUCACCACGUGUUUGAUUAGGGUUGUGAAUGACGCUCAUAGUCCUGCUACUAAGAAGAACAAGGAAUGGCAAGAGAAGCUCCCAGUUGUUGUUCUCAAAGCUGAAGAAAUUUUGUACUCCAAAGCAAUUUCUGAGGUUUUUAUAUUUCACAAAUACUUGUAGGAAUGUGGGGUUCUUAGAUCUUUUUGCUCUAUUGUAUAAACCCCUUUUUGCUAAUUUUCUUGCUUUUGUAUUUUUGUUUCAGGAAGAGUAUCUCAAUGUUGAUACACUCUGGGAACGCCUCAACGAUGCAAUUAACACAAUCAUAAGGAUAGACCAGACCACAGAGACUGGAGACCUUUUGCCCCCAUGUGUUGAAGGUACUCUCAAUUUCUCAGAUCCACUUCUACGACUCUGUGCCAAAAUUUAAUCUUAAUGUGUUAAUUUGUGUCAUUUGGGAAUAUGAGUGUAGAAUGUUGAGUAUUGUAGACUCGCAGAUUAGUUAUUUUGAGCUGCCAGUGAUGUGUCCUUUUAUUUCUUUUUUUGGUUUUUGGGUAUGGUACUUGUGCUGAUCAGCUGCACUUAACCUGGGCUGCAAACCUGUGAGAACUCCGAGAAGUGAUCGACACAGUAAUCCCCGGACUUACCUUGCCCCCAGAACUCAACAACCUCCUCCUCCUGGGCCUCCUAAACCUGCUGGUGGCAAUCCCUUAAACUAUACAAAAGUCACAAAUUCUACUGUGUCUGGAAUUCCUGCAUC
rnacentral:lncRNA from 1 species